GACGAACGCUGGCGGCGUGCUUAACACAUGCAAGUCGAACGGAAAGGCCUUUUCGGAGGUACUCGAGUGGCGAACGGGUGAGUAACACGUGGGUGAUCUGCCCUGCACUCUGGGAUAAGCCUGGGAAACUGGGUCUAAUACCGGAUAGGACCGCACUUUAGUGUGUGUGGUGGAAAGUUUUUUCGGUGUAGGAUGAGCCCGCGGCCUAUCAGCUUGUUGGUGGGGUAAUGGCCUACCAAGGCGGCGACGGGUGGCCGGACUGAGAGGUUGGUCGGCCACAUUGGGACUGAGAUACGGCCCAGACUCCUACGGGAGGCAGCAGUGGGGAAUAUUGCACAAUGGGCGCAAGCCUGAUGCAGCGACGCCGCGUGGGGGAUGACGGCCUUCGGGUUGUAAACUCCUUUCGCCAGGGACGAAGCGUUUUGUGACGGUACCUGGAGAAGAAGCACCGGCUAACUACGUG
rnacentral:rRNA from 1 species